AGCAGCCGCGGUAAUUCCAGCUCCAAUAGCGUAUAUUAAAGUUGUUGCAGUUAAAAAGCUCGUAGUUGAAUUUCGGGAUCAAUUCGUCGGUCGUGCUUUUUGGUACGUACUGGUGUUAUUGGUUUCUCCCUUCUGACAAGCCAUGAUGUCAUUAAUUUGGUGUUAUGGGGAGUUAGGACUGUUACUUUGAAAAAAUUAGAGUGUUUAAAGCAGGCAUUAGCUUGAAUACAUUAGCAUGGAAUAAUGAAAUAGGACGUUCGAACCUAUUUUGUUGGUUUCUAGGAUCAACGUAAUGAUUAAUAGGGAUAGUUGGGGGCAUUAGUAUUCAAUUGUCAGAGGUGAAAUUCUUGGAUUUAUUGAAGACUAACUACUGCGAAAGCAUUUGCCAAGGAUGUUUUCAUUAAUCAAGAACGAAAGUUAGGGGAUCGAAGACGAUCAGAUACCGUCGUAGUCUUAACCAUAAACUAUGCCGACUAGGGAUCGGAUGAUGUUAAUUUUUUAAUGUACUCAUUCGGCGCCU
rnacentral:rRNA from 1 species